UCCCUGGCUUUCCAGUGGUUAGGACUCUACACUUCCGCUGCAGAGGGCACAGGUUCCAUCCCUGGCCAGGGAA
rnacentral:tRNA from 1 species